AGCAUGUCCAAAUGGUAUUUUCUAUUUAUUUGCAGGCAUGUCUCAAAUAAUCAAUUUAGUGGAAAGAUACCAAAGAGAUUUUCUGAUUUGACGAAAUUGUAUGAUUUUCGAGCAUGUAGCAACAACUUUGAGGGUAAGAUACCAGAGUUCAUUGUCAAUUGGAAGAACAUUUCAAUCUUGAAACUUCAAUCUACUUCUCUGAAGGGUCCAAUCCCCUCGGGGUUUUCAAGCUUGACUAAUUUGACAGAUUUGAGGAUAAGUGAUCUAACUGGAGAUGGAUCAAAUUUGUCAUUUGUUCAAACACUAAAUAAGGACAAGCUGAAAAAUUUAGUGCUAAGGAACGCCUCAAUUAAUGGAGAAAUUCCUCUAAGGAUUGGAGAAUUUAAAGUAUUGAAAACAUUGUCUAGGUUAUGGACCGACAAGCAUUAUCUAUUCCAGAUCAGCACAUGAUGUUAUGAAGAUGAUUUGUUAUUAUUGUUAUUAUUUGUAAUUGAUUUUAUUGUAAUAUUCUUAGUGAGCCAACCUACACAUUUGGUCUUAGGUUUUGGUAUAUAUGUAAGAUCUCAUUUGUGAGAUUGAUAUGGGAAUGUAAUAAGUGGUAGAGCAUAAGGUAUUUUGGUAUUUGUGAAUAUAAGAAGAGAUAUACAUGCAUACAUCAUUUAAAGAUUCAAGGAAGGUUUGAAGAAGGCAAAUCAGAGCUUAACCGGUAUUGAAUCCAACAUAUGAAGAUGCUAUUUUAAGAAGUACAUUAUCAUUGGAUUUAACUAUCCAAUUGUAGUCAGUGUGACUCCCAUUUUGUGAUUCAGCAGUGAGCUCUAGGCAGUUGGCCUUUCUACAUGUACAGACCCCAUAUUGUACACACAUACUAUCUACAGUAGUAUCAUUUGAUUGUGGGUAAGGUUUCCCAUUGUGGUUUUUCCCUUUACAGGGUUUCCACGUACAAAUA